ACGUAGGUGGCGAGCGUUAUCCGGAUUCACUGGGCGUAAAGCGAGUGCAGGUGGUUUUGUAAGUUGGAUGUGAAAUUUCCCGGCUUAACCGGGAAGGGUCAUUCAAUACUGCAGGACUUGAGGGCAAAAGAGGGGGGUGGAAUUGCCGGUGUAGUGGUGAAAUGCGUAGAUAUCGGCAGGAACACCUGUGGCGAAAGCGGCCCCCUGGUUUGCUCCUGACACUCAGACUCGAAAGCUAGGGUAGCGAACGGGA
rnacentral:rRNA from 1 species